rnacentral:misc_RNA from 1 species
AAUAAGUUUAGCAAGAUGAGGUGAUAUUCCUGGAGGUAUACUAACACGUAAAUCCUCUAGUGCAAUCUACAACAAACACACAAAAAAUGAAUAUAAUCACUAAAUUACCGACUUAUGUUAAAUGAACGAUGUACAAAUCUUAACGAACUUUCAUGCCACAUUCCAUCGGCGAAAGAUCUGCAAACGGAACUUCUCUUGUCGCAAGUUCCCAUAACAGGACGGCAAAACUCCACAUAUCACUGGCCUCGAGAUUUAUAUCCGCCGGACGUUUACUUAAUGCUUCCGGAGACAUCCACGCUGGUGAAAUCUACAUCUAUUUUGCCUUUCGAGCCCAUGAAGAAAUGCCAUAGCUCUCGCGACAUCGAGGGCAAGUCUAAGUGCACGAGCAGUGUCGACAACAACGCCUGUACCUCCAUGUAAAAGCCUAUGCAAACUCCCACGUGCCAUAUAUUGCGAAACAGUUGCCAAUUGCGGUGGUUGAUUGACACAACCAAGUACAGGUAGUACAUUGGGAUGUGAAAAAAUUCUUAAUUUUGGAAAUUCUUCGUUGAAGUCUCUUGAAAUUCGAGCCGUACAUUCACGUAUAUUCAAUAUUUUUGCCACAAUGUCAUUGUUUUGCCAACGCCCACGCCAUGUUUCACCACUUGGCGUACUAGCUAAAUGAGUAUGCAGAGAAAGAUCUGCCAUGUUUAUUCCUUUGUGCCUUGAUAGCGUUGCAUCACCUAAAUGAUAUAACUAGUCAUUAGUAAUUAACAGUUACCAAUUAGAAUUCUUAAGUAUAACAAAAUACGUAUAAUACAAUGUUACUCACGACUUCUAGUUUUCAAACCUAGCCAGC